CUUCUCUGAACUCCUCCCACAUCCUAGUUUUUCCUUCAGCUACCACCCAAGCCACGUUCUGCUUAGCGUGCUGGUACUCAUCAGCUGCCUCCUAAGUCCCACAGGGAAACAGAGCCCGAUAGGACUCUUUCUUCUGCCUGAUGUCUCAGUCAGAAUGCUGUAGGUGAUGGGAGUUGAAGAUCUUACAGACCAAGACUUCUGCCAGGCAUUCCCAGAGAAACCUUACUAUUUAUUUAGGUGCGCCAGGUCUCCAAUGCAUACAGCGUCCAAGACAUUCGGCUUCAGAUUGAUCAUCAAUCACAUGCAUACACGUGCUUACACGUGCACACACAUACACACAUAGUGCCUUGUCUUUUGUAACCAUAGGGGGGUUUUACAAUGGGAGGUGCUUGUGUGUACUGUAACUGUUUUCAAUAAAAGGCGACAAGCGGAGGCCAGAGUCGAGGUCGUCUGUGGUUGGAUUCAGAGUGCUUUCCUGAGACACCAAGCGGGCCUCCCUUGCUAUCUACGAGCUUCAGACAGUGGAGGUGACACCAGGGGUGAAGCGUGUUCUGCUUCCCUUCAAAACCACAGCUGACCUGCUUGAGGACGUCAGAGUGGAGUGGAGUCGUUCAGACCUCGAAGAUGUGAAGGUCCUUGUAUAUGAGAACAGCCAAAAAAAGCAUGAAGAGCAACACCAGGACUAUCAAGACCGCCCUGAGAUGAAUGAAGAGCUACUGAGAACCGGAGACCUCAGUCUGACCCUUUAUUACCCUCGACUUACUGACAGUGGAGUCUACACCUGCACCGUCUACAAAAAAGAUGGAGCCAUCCUGAAACAGAAAGUAGUGAUACUCAGUAUCAGAGGCUACAAGGUGGAAAUAGUCGAAGUAACAAAAGGGAAAAAAUCUGUGCUGCUGCCCUUUAAAACCACUCUUGAUCUACCCGAUGAUGUCACAGUCGAGUGGAGGCGUGCUGAUUCCAAAGUCACAGUCCACACCUAUCAGCACGGCCAAAACCAGCUAGAAGAACAGGGACAGGAUUACAGAGGUCGCACAGAGAUGAAUGAAGAGCCUCUGAGGACUGGAGACCUCAGUCUGACCCUGAAAGACCCCCAAAACACCCACAGUGGUUUCUACAUGUGCACAGUCUCCCAGGGUGAAGACAUCCUGAGACAGAAAGGAGUGACGCUUACUGUCAGAG
ensembl:lncRNA